GAUGAAGAACGCAGCGAAAUGCGAUAAGUAAUGCGAAUUGCAGAAUUUCCGUGAGUCAUCGAAUCUUUGAACGCACAUUGCGCCCAUUGGUAUUCCGAUGGGCAUGCCUGUUCGAGCGUCAUUAUCCUCCCUCAAACCUCGGGUUUGGUGUUGGAGCCAAGUUGUGCGAUGAACAACUGGUCUCAAAGACAAUGACGGCGUCCGUGGGACCCUCGGUGCAACGAGCUUUUAGGAGCACGCGCCGAGUUGCAAGGACCUUCCGGGCCGGUCUCCUUUUACUAUUUUACAAGGUUGACCUCGGAUCAGGUAGGAAUACCCGCUGAACUUAAGCAUAUCAAUAAGCGGAGGA
rnacentral:misc_RNA from 1 species